AGUUAGGAAGUAAUUGGUUUUAAAUUGUGUUUAAAGUACUUGAAUGAGCACAUUGUCUAUGGAUUUCUGAUUGUUUAACUGGAGGAAGAGGUGUCCUAUGGGGAUGUGCAAAUAUGCUGUGCUUUAUAAUGCAUUUGAAAGGGAAAUCAGUGUUAUAACUAUGUUAAUAAUGUUUUGAUUGGAGCAUGUUAAAAUGCUGUUGCUUUAAACCCACUUGUAUGUAGAAUGUAACUACUGGACCAGUGGUCACCAACACUCUUCCUCGAGAGCUACCUUUUGGCUGUAAAACAUUUCAGCGUAGACUACUUUAUUCCUCCAUCGCACCCAGCAUUCCUGGGAUAGUCUCUUGAUCCAUAAUGACCCUGACCAGGAUGAAGUGGCUACUGAAAAUCAAUUAAAUAAGGACUACUCGUUUGGGCAAUCCAACUGGUAAUUGAAAACCUGCAUUACAGUGCAAUGCCACUAAAUAAACGAAUACCAUUAAUUAAUAUUUAGUAGUUCACUAGGCCACAUGUUCAAGUUACACAUUAGCACUUUGUGGCAGCAGUUUGAGGAUGAACCCCAUGGGUGUGAUGGUCAGGUGUCCACAUACUUUGGGCCAUAUAGUGCAUAUCAGUUAGAGUAAGAAUUCAUUUAAUACACAUUCUGGAAGCUCAAACGCAGCACACAAAGACAUUUAUAUUACAGCCAACAAAUUAAAAGGCAAGUAUGUAUAAAGUAUGACUUCAGGUCAGUGGCCUUCUUUCAGUAAUUGUGUUGUUAUUGCUGCUGUAUCACUCACUGCUAAUAACUAUUUACCUGUUUACGAAUGAACAUGCAUUAUUUUAUAUUGGCUACAAUUCCUCUUUCCCACGUCCUCCUCUUUCUUCCUUUAUUAAUAUUAUUAAUUUAUUUAUUUAUUUAUUUUUGUUGUUUUUGUUUUUUGUUUUUUACAUUACUAUUGACUCAGUUACGCCUGCUGUGCGGAAAGUGCGCAUGGUGUCCAUGGUAACGACGCUACCCCUAACGUAAAAUGCCUAGCAACUGCGAGAAGGUUUAUAAAAAGAACGUGUUGUUUUAGUUAGCUUUAUUGCUAGCCCGUUGUUGUCUAUUAACCAAGUCAGAGUAGUCUUAAGCCAGUCAAAUUUACUUACGUGUUUUUAAACCUAUGCGUAUGAACAUGAUCAGCAUACCAUGAGCAGUGUUCACACCGGACUGAAACAUUACCUCGUCAUAUAUUAACUAAUCUGUGCUACAUACACUAAGUAGCUAACUAUCACCCGCUAAGAGCUAGGAAGAAUUAAAAGGUAUAUUAUGUUUCGUUGUUAACGGUAAUGUUAAUGUAUGCACGGUCGGAAAUCGGGAGAUGAUAUGCAGACCUCGGAUGAUCCCUAUGAGAAGUUCAUUCUGCAGCAUUUAAAGCAUUAUGGACUUUUUACAGGCCAGAGUUCUGCGUUUCUUCAGAGAAAUAUAUCAACAGGCAGACUAUGGGACAGCAGCCAUGAUUCUGUGGCCACAGAUGUCCUCCAUUCAACUGCUGACAGCACAGACAUGGAUGAGGAACAGCCACAGGCACAUCAGGGACAAUUCUCUUUCAACAUGGAGAACUAUCUCAGGACCAGACAGCUAUUAAUUGACCUUGAUGAUGGAAGGCCUAUCCGACGCCUAAGGGAACCACUGGACCUCUUUUCUAUCCCUUCCACUUCCUGUCCCUUCCAGGGUGUUCGCUGGCCAGUUGAAUGUGAAGUCAUCUGUGACAAAAUCCAACACUUGGAAUGGGAUCCUCCAGAACCCGAACCGUUUUAUCAACAGACUGGCCAUGAGCGAACCCCCAUGCCAGGAGGAGAAGAAAAAGGAAUCACUGUGUAUUGUGUAGACUCUGCCACAAAAAUGCCCUGCUUCACUUGUUCCCGUGUUGGUGGCAGCAGGAGGCAUAUAAAGAAUUUCAUGUCUAGUCCCGACAGCAAAGAGACACCUACCCUGUCCUUUGAGUCCAGAUUUGAGAGUGGUAAUCUUCAAAAAGCAGUUAAAAUUGGUCAUUAUGACUAUGAGCUCACUUUGCGCAAUGACAUGUACACCAAAAAGCACACACAGUGGUUCUACUUCCGUGUGAAGAACAUGAAGGUUGGUGUCGCAUAUCGUUUCACGAUUAUCAACCUGAUGAAAUCCAGCAGUCUGUAUGAAGCAGGCAUGCGUCCACUGCUGUAUUCUGAGGUUGGUGCCUGGCUGAAGGGAGAGGGUUGGUACCGUGCAGGCAACAACAUUCGGUAUUACCGGAAUCAGAGUGAAAAAGAGAACAAACCACUGUACUCACUCACCUGGACACUUGAGUUUCCUCAUGAAAAUGAUACCUGCUACUUGGCCCACUGCUACCCGUACACCUACUCAGACCUGCAAAACUAUCUGCAAGGUGUGGUUUCAGACCCGGCUCGGGCAAUGUACUGUAAAGUGCGGGUACUGUGCCGAAGCUUGGCAGGAAACUCUGUGUAUGUGCUGACUAUUACUGCACCCUGCGGCACCUGGCAAGAGCGAAGAAACAGGCAAGCUGUGGUAGUAACAGCUCGGGUGCAUCCGGGAGAAACAAAUAGCUCAUGGAUUAUGCUGGGCUUCUUGGAUUUUCUGUUGGGUAAAUCACCCGAUGCACGUCUUCUGAGGGAAACCUUUGUGUUUAAGGUAGUGCCAAUGCUGAACCCUGAUGGCGUGGUGGUUGGGAACUACCGCUGCUCUCUGUCAGGCCGUGAUAUGAACCGCAACUAUCGUACUCUACUUAAGGAGUCAUUCCCCUGUGUGUGGUACACUCGCAAUAUGGUGAAACGGUUACUUGCUGAGAGAGAAGUACUGUUAUAUUGUGACUUUCAUGGACACAGCAGAAAAAACAAUGUAUUCAUGUACGGUUGCACUGAUCGUAAGGAUACUUCACUACAUCUUCAGGAGCGUGUCUUCCCUCUGAUGAUGAGCAAAAAUGCCAAAGACAAGUUUUCUUUCAAGAGUUGUAAGUUUAAGGUGCAGAAAGGCAAAGAAGGCACUGGUCGCAUUGUAAUGUGGAGGCUCGGCAUCAGAAACAGCUAUACUAUGGAGUCCACUUUUGGAGGUUCCACAUUAGGGGGCAGGAGAGGAACUCACUUCUCUGUAGGGGACCUGAAGUCUAUGGGCUACCACUUUUGUGAUACCCUCCUGGACUUCUGUGACCCAGACCAAACCAAGACUGAACAUUGUCUAAAGGAACUGGGGGUUUUGCUGAAGCAGGAGAUCGGACGGAAGCUGGGCAGGGAUGUGGAAUCCCUGGAGGGUCUCUCUGAUGUAGACAUUGAGUCCAGUACAAGUGGAUCAAAUAGCACAGACUCAGAUGGUCUUCCUGUUCAUCUUUUAAACUGCACAGACCAGGAUAUAAAAGUCAAGACAAAGCAUUUACGGAGCAGAAAAGAAAGGAAUCGAUUACGACAGCAGGGAGCACAGAGUGCAAAAUCCAAGAUCCUUCACAGAGACAACAAAAACCCAGAUAUGAUGCCAUCCAAAGAAGAUCUAGUGACUCAAACAAUCCAAGGAAAAACAAUCACUCCAGUGAAAGAGGGGAAGGAUAAGAAACCAAAUACACCGAUAGUGAGGGUUAAUCAGUCUGCGAGGACCUGGAUCCCACAUCCCAUUUCACGUGUUAGUCUUUCUGGCCAUGAGGAUUUUUGGGAGGACAAGAAAGACAAGCAUGGCUUAGGUUACUCUCCUACCUUAUUAGAGGAGACUGAGUCAAUAAAUCACUCCCAGAAGCAAAAACAGCACCAACCCUUGAUUGUCACUGCAGUUCAACACAGAUUAUCAUGUCUGCCAAUUCAACAGUUCCCCGUGCUUUUCAACAAGGAUGUCAAAGCAUACUCAGGAAUGAGAGGAAGGUCCUCUGUUUCAAAAAUCUCACUUCGUAGGGCUGUUCCGGAGUUCAUUUCUAUCAAAAACCUAGAGCUCAGCCGCUCAGCCUACUCCUCACCAGCCCACACUGACAACCAGCAAAAUAUCAGGCCGAAAAGAACACCACAGUCAACCAGAGUUUCACUUGAAUCCUACAUGCCUGAAAUACCAAACACUACAGGCACCCUGAGAACCAAUCAUAAAAGAAAUGCACUAGCAGGUCUGGCAGUACUGGAGGCUGAGCAGUCCAGUGAAGCCGAGCAGCUCAGUAAACAAGAAAGAGAGCACUACUCUUUUUUCCCUUAUCUAAGCAGCAUUAACAGGCCUGGGAAAAGCAGUAGGAAGUCCUCAGAUGAACAGGCUCAACUCAGAACUGAGGCUAGGGACGUUAACUGGUGGGUAUGACGAUGCAGCUUCAUCAGGCAGCUGGAGCAAUGAAGACAUAAUGGAGAACUUGCAAAUGCCUUGGUGGAAGAGUGGAGAAACAUCUCACAGCAAGAAGUGACAAUUCUGGUGCAGUCCAUGACUUAAAGCAGCUGAAGCGUUCAUGCUUUCCAGAGGUUGGAGAAAGAAUAAAUAAAAGCAUAAAGCCACAAGCUCAUGAGGAAGAGGAGUGAAAAGUGGUCACUUUGGAGAACACCCAGAGGAAAAGUCCAGAGAUGCUGUGCAACGGUUCCUUGAAGUACUUCCAUUUCUUCAUACAAACAUGGGGCAGUGGUGGCUCUGGGUUACUGAUCAGAAGGUCGGGGGUUCAAGCCCCAGCACUACGAAGCUGCCACUCUUGAGCAAGGCCCUUAACCCUCUCUGCUCCAGGGGCGCUGUAUCAUGGCUGACCCUGCGCUCUGACCCAAACCUCCUAACAUGCUGGAGUAUGCGAAGAAAAAAAUUUCACUGUGCUGUAAUGUAUAUGUGACCAAUAAAGACUCUAUCAUUAUCAUACUGAGUAUAGAACAAUACAAUAGCAAUUUUGUUUCUUGCUUGGGUUCAGAAACAUGAUAGAUAGGAAAAUGUACUUCUUUGGAAUUAGUAUGUACUUUAGGCAUAAAACCUUUGUGUUUAUUAUUAUCUAGCCUACAUAAUGGACUUUUUCAGGCAUUUGUUUUUGCAAUCAUUUCAGCAAAAUACAUUUUUCUUAUUUUUAAAAUGUAAAUACAGGGAUUGAACAUUUCCCGAACGUUUUUGUAUGCUUGUUGUGCAUGUGCAUGCUAGAACUUUUUAAAGAAUUACACAGUUUAGUGACAUUAAACAUACUAUUACUGGCAUAAUUCUGUUUCUAACCAUUUCUAUCGGAGUUAACACACAGGCACUGGCUCUUUUAAG